AUGGUGCAACCACAACAAGGCCAUGAACAGGAACUGGAAGAGGAAAAUCAGCAAAUCAGACCAGACACGGAGUCAGCCCUUGUUUUGACCACAAAAUCAGAUCAGGUAAGCAAGGAAAACCAAAAGGAAAACAAACCAUAUGGACGCCCUCUUCCUCAGCAUGGACCACCUCAUCGAGACACCUGGCUCAACUCCUUGCCGCUGCCAUCUCUAGGGUUGGUGGUAGGAGAAAUAGGAGGACAAUGUGUGCCGCCCCGGUUCUUGAUCUCCAUCGCCUUUGCUGAAUCGAGGGAUGGAGGAGGUGCAGGACGGUGGCACGAGGAGAGAACAGGAGGACCAACCGGCGACCAGCGGCCAGUCCUCUAUGUGCGGGCGCCAGGGAGCAUGCCCUGGGCUAGAUCUUGAUGGCCCCUCACCCUUCCUACUUGAGUUGUUGGUCGUCGCUGUGAGGGUGAGACGAGCUCGGACGUCGUCCGACGAGCAAAUGCCGUCCCUGGCCGAUGGCGCCGCCUCCACGAGGGCAAGUCAACUCCUUCACCACGCCGCCGGCCUCCUCCCUCUCCCUAUAGCCUCACCCAACCCACCAUCGGGCUCGCCUAACCUACGCCCGAUCUCAAUCAGGUAGAGGGGAUAUUGUGAUCAAUAAGCAGGCACGAUGGUGGAGAGGGAGCAGCAGGUAGCGGCAGUGACGAGCAAGGAGGAGGGAUGGGCCAUGAGGAUCGAGGGGAAGGGGCUAGGGUUGUGGACGAGAGGAUG
rnacentral:rRNA from 1 species